rnacentral:SRP_RNA from 1 species
CCAUACCAGCCGGGGAAGUAGCGGAGCCCUGCACCUGAAAUCCGCUAUAGCAGGGGUGGAUCCCCUCCUUGAGGACCGAUGCGAUGCGGUCCGGAGCGUGCUCUUUCGUGUUGACGAGUGGGUCUUACGCAAUCAGACGCCGUGAACCAUGUCAGGUGGGGAACCAAGCAGCAUUAAGCGGCUCAUCUGAUGUGCCGUGAGGGUGCCUGCUCUGAGCGAGAGAGGCGAAUUCCGCGCAAAGGUGACGUUCGAUUGGAGGGUGUAUGG